UUUUAAGAGACAGCAGUAGCCACGGUAAUACGUAGGUGGCAAGCGUUGUCCGGAAUUAUUGGGCGUAAAGGGCUCGCAGGCGGUUUCUUAAGUCUGAUGUGAAAGCCCCCGGCUCAACCGGGGAGGGUCAUUGGAAACUGGGAAACUUGAGUGCAGAAGAGGAGAGUGGAAUUCCACGUGUAGCGGUGAAAUGCGUAGAGAUGUGGAGGAACACCAGUGGCGAAGGCGACUCUCUGGUCUGUAACUGACGCUGAGGAGCGAAAGCGUGGGGAGCGAACAGGAUUAGAUACCCCAGUAGUCCCUGUCUCUUAUAC
rnacentral:rRNA from 1 species